AUUUUCACCUUGAAGCCAAGCCUUGUAAGAUGCUGAGGCUUUCACUGCUGCAUUGACUUGUUUCAGAACCUGCUUUUGGAGAAAACAAGCCAGAAAGCUCUUGACCAAAGGCAGGAGGCCCUGCCCCUGCUGCUUAGGUGCUCCCCAGAACCUCCUCUUGCUGGAACCUGUGGGGUUUCUGUGCAAGUCCAUGGCUCCUGAUACUGCUGUCACUGCUGCCUUUGGGCCCUCAAGACAGGCAGCCAGCCGGAGGUGCCCAUCAUCGACACCCAGAGAUACAAAAAGGACUGCAGUUCCUACACAAGCUCAUUGUCUUGCUCGGUCAAGAAGGAUGUGAUCUGUGAUGGAUAUGCAUUAGAAGCCAAAGGCAUUUGUAUGGAGGACUUUGGGGGCCUCUCAUCUGCCAACAGGAGCACACCUGGAACCUGGCUGGCAUUGCCUACUGGCUUACGCACCCAUCCGAUUCUAGGAAACAGUGUUUUCC
rnacentral:lncRNA from 1 species